CGGAGGUUUAGGUUAGAUAGCAGGAGGAAGUUUUUCACACAGAGGGUGGUGAGGCACUGGAACAGGUUGCCCAAGGAGGCUGUGGAUGCCCCAUCCCUGGAGGCAUUCAAGGCCAGGCUGGAUGUGGCUCUGGACAGCCUGGUCUGGUGGUUGGCGACCCUGCACAUAGCAGGGGGGUUGAAACUAGAUGGUCCCUUUCAACCCAGGCCAUUCUAUGAUUCUAUGAUUUCUUAUGUGGUGUGUAAGCAAGUAAAUGUACUCUCUUUGCAGUUUGUGUAGAGAGGGAUUUUUAUUUUCCCUGCAAUUAAUGGUGUUCUGUGUGUACAGAAUGAGGCAAAGAGGCUCAACUAUGAUACUGCAAGAUGACUAGGUAUUCUUUGUUUCUUCCAAAGCAGUUGAAAUAAAAUUUAUUCUGGACUUUUUUAAUAAAGGGGAUUUUUACAUCUCAAAGGUAAGCGUUUUUUUAAAUUACUUCCAUAUAUUCAGAAAGCAUUUGGGUUCCACUAUCAAACUUACUGUGAUUUAAUCUCUCAGUAUGAGGUAUCAAGUACUUACAUAGCUGUUCUUAAAAGCAGAGUGUAUACAGUGUUUAAGUUCCCUCAGACACCCCAGGAAUGACCCACAAAUUUUAGUAUGCAGGUAAUGUGCUGCUUCAAAUACGUUUGUCAUCACUGCUCAAUGCAUUAUGCUAGAAUUGUUAUUAAAAUGUCUGUUCUCCACUUCUACAUCUGACUUAUUGAAGCCUACAGGGGUGCAUAAUCGGGAAGGCAUCAAACUUUAUUCUAUGUUCUCAUGGUGGAAGCAAUUUUAUAGUGAAUAAUUAAUUUCUGAUAAAAGAUAAUAAGUUCAGAGCAAAGAAUCAAAGGUAGUGUCAUCUUGAUUUGUUGCUAAAAACCUGAUUGCAGAUAACUCCGUUACCUGGAAUCAAAUAAAGAUAUCACAUAUUAGCCAGCAGAGGGUGAAAAGCAUGUUUUGAAUUAUCUCCAUUUAGUUGAGCUUUUGCAUAAUUUUGUAUUGUUGUAAUGAUUCACAGUUUAGAAAACACUUUUUUUUUCUCUUCCUUUACAAUAUUGGUUUUGCUUUCUUUUUUUUCCCCUGGCAACACCAGCAAGCACUGCAGUGGUAGCAUUUGUGUGUACUUACUGACUGAAGUGAUGCAGGGGUGAAUGUUUCAAUAGGAACAAUUUUCAUGUUAAAGAAGCAAAUUAAAAAGUUCAUUGAAUCUGAAUUUCUUUACAUGUAUAUCUCCUUGCAAACUACAGGCCUACCUUUGAAGAUGCUUUGAAGAAGAACUUCAAAGAAAAAAGUCUGUGUUGUUUUGAGAUAUGCAUGCAAAUAAAAUCAUAUUCUCCUUUUUGAAAGACCUAUGCAGUUGACAUGAGGUGACAUAGGCUUGGUCAUAAAAAUUGGAUCUUCCUACUCAGCCUUGGAUUUAUACAAAAAGGCAUAGAGGAGAUAGUCUUUACUUAUCCUAAACUUGAUCAUCUGGGAGACAGUUCCAGCAGUGGCCUUGUCUCCCAGCGUCUUCUGGGUCUCAGCGUUUUUUUCUGAAGAGUUCUCUGAGCCUCUGGAAAAUCUCAGCUUUCUUUCCCAAGACCCCUCUGUUCCUGAAUAGGAGCAACUGUCUACUUCCCAACUCAAACAGUGAGUCUUCAUCCUUGAAUUUAAAGAGGUUAUUUUUUUAUUGCUAAAGAUAACCAGAAGUGGUCCUAAAUAUACCAAAAACAUGACUGCUAGUGAAAUUUUAUUGCCUGUGGCAUUCACAAAGGGAAGCAGCAACAAAUAACACUCUAAGAUAAAUACGGAAGGAGAAGGUGACAAAUCUUCUAUUUGGUGCUACUGAUAUUACUACUGGAAUCUUUGGAGCAGGAGUGGGAGACUGAAGAGAAGAAAAAGAGACUGCUAACACUCUUUCCAGGUUGCACUUGAUGUUAUUUUUUCCUGAGAUAUUUUAACAUCAUCAACAACAGCAACAACAACAAUAAAACAUAAAUAAAAGCCUGGAAACUAAUGGUGGGCUCCAGCGUCCUGAAAUUCACUGGUAACAUCUCAGUCCUGUUCAGUGGUUUCCCAUUGAUGAUGCUAGUGUAAAUAUCACAUCAGUUCCUUUGUUACCUCAAAUGCAAGAGGUCUCUGCAGAGGAUCUAACAGUCUGAUGCUAGCUGAUGAUGCAGGUAGGUGGCAAUAUAGUAUAUCUUUGAGGAG
ensembl:lncRNA